rnacentral:rRNA from 1 species
CCUACGGGAGGCUGCAGUGGGGAAUAUUGGGCAAUGGGCGCAAGCCUGACCCAGCAACGCCGCGUGAAGGAAGCAGGCUUUCGGGUUGUAAACUUCUUUUAAGAGGGAAGAGCAGAAGACGGUACCUCUUGUAUCAGCAACGGCUAAAUACGUGCCAGCAGCCGCGGUAAUACGUAGGUGGCAAGCGUUGUCCGGAUUUACUGGGUGUAAAGGGCGUGCAGCCGGGAAGACAAGGCAGAUGUGAAAUCCCGCGGCUCAACCGCGGAACUGCAGUUGAAACUGUUGUUCUUGAGUGCCGGAGAGGUCAGCGGAAUGCGUUGUGUAGCGGUGAAAUGCGUAGAUAUAAGGAAGAACACC